CCAUUUUUUGCAAAAAAAAAACCCUGCCAUCACAACCCAUACGAGAACAUGAGGGUUACCUCCGCCGUCGCGCCCCAUCCCUCCGCCGCCGCGCGCCCCGUCACUCUGCUAGCCGCCGCGACCCAUCCCUCCGCCGCCGCGCCGCCGUCCAUCCUCUCCUCGGUGCCCGUCCUCGCUCCGUCAUCGCCGAAUCUGGACGAGAUCGGGAGAAUCCGCCGCAUCUCGCGCAGCUGCUCGUCGGCCAUGCGGGGAGGACGAACGAGCUGCUCGUCGGACAUGCAGGGAGCACAGACGAGCUGCUCAUCGGCGUCCGUCCCACAGCCCCGCUGAAGACGGCGCCCAGACCCCUUGACAGCGCACUCCUCCUACUUGCCGCCCGGGUGCAAAUAGCGACAGCGAGUAGGCGACAACUAUACUACGUCGAGAAGUGAUACAGGGGCAUGAAGCAAGCGAGCAGGUGCGCAGCGACCUGCUACUGCACUAAUACGAGCCUUGACGGAGCACCGGGGCCGGCUCGACAGGGCAUGCCGCCCGCCGGUAGACGCCUGGUUGUGUGAGACGGAGAUGAACCUCGCGUCGUCGCCUCUGCAGCCUGGACAAAGCUCCGCCGGUGCUGGGGAUGAACCCUGCGUCUCAAUUUUGCAAGACAUGCUUUAGUUGCACCAUUGGUCAAGUGGCUUGAACACAACUCACAUGAGUCAUCGUCAAAUGGCCCUUUUCUGAAAUUCAUUCUCUUAUGCACUGAGAGGAGUUACUCCAUGACAGUCUAUAUACAUACAGAUGCAAGCAAUUAAGAAACUCAUGCAGAUGAUGACUGGAGAAUUUUUCACGAAUUUUCCAACCUAAAUUUGCUACAGAGGUUGGGAAAAGAGGAGUCCAGGCUCUGAUGAACACAUGUUCUUUCGCAGAAACCAAUUCAACUAGACCAGGACUUUGUUUAUUAGUCCUCCAGUGUUUGUUGGAAUGAGAUGACACAUGGUAUGCCAGCUAACAAGCAACUGAAGUAAGAAGAUUUUUGUAAUUUCUUGGAAAGAAAGAGCCCUGAACCCAAGAUGGCGAAGGAUCCAAUAUGUCAGGACCAAUGAAGGAAUUGCAGAGCUUCAUAUUCAGUUUAUUUUAGGUGCUUGCCUACUUCAAGUGUCUAGAUUACAGGAAACAUGUUUCUUCAAGUGUCUACUUCAAGUAAGUUUCUUAUAGAAGUAGUCAGUUUGAUUCCUUCAAAAUAGUUGUUGCCUGAUAAUUUGUGUAUGACUAAAUAGCAGUACCUCAAAUUUUGCUUCAGCUUCUUAAAACAGAGUAAUUUUGUAAAUCCUAACAGAACUCUAUCAGUCUGAACCAAUUUCUUGUAAAUCUACAAUACAUCAUAGCCUCAUCUGAUCGAAUCAUUGGUUUCAGAUCAAUACAUCCUUGUGCAUUCCCAUAAGAUCAAUAAUAUUCAGUUUGAUUGUGUCAAAAACUUGCUGCUUGACAAUCUGUAUGACUAGAUAGCAAUACCUUAAAAUUGCUUUUGGUUUUAAACUGAACUGAACUUGGUUGGGGCUGAACUGAACUCAGUUUGGUUCUACAAAAAGAUAGGGUUAUAUUCUACAUCGUUUUUAAGGCGAUAAGGUGACCUAAGGCGAGCACCACCCGCUCUAGCGCCUAGGCGACGCCUAAGCGCCUAAGGCGGGCAUAUUUGUAAGGCGCUGCCAGGGCGCCUUAUCGCCUAAGCGUCCAAGGGAGGACGCCUUAAAAACAAUGAUUCUUUGAAUUUUUCUUGUUAACUCUAAACUGGACUCAACUCAGUUUGAUUCUGUAAAAAAGAUUGUGACAGACUUGUAUAUAUAUGCAACAGUCUUUCACCAACACUCAAAUUAGAUGGGCGUGAUAUUUAAAAGAAAUCGACAUACUGUAGUUUAUGAGAAUUUGGCAAGAAACUCGGAACCGAUGGACUUGACUUGUGAAAAAAUGUAAUCAAUGGACGACUACAGUUUAUAUCAAACACAGAAUCGAUGGACUUUCGCAAUGCAGGCUUGCCCUUACCAUUUACCAGGUGGUGACUUACCGGAGGAGCCAGUGGUGCUGCUGCGACCUUCUCCGGGCGAUGGUCAAUGAUGCAAGCUAAAAUCGGGGAUGGGAUAGCGGCUCCGGGCGACAAUCAGAGGCGAGGCAGCGCUGCAGACCAAGGACAAAGUGAUGCACUGGGGCGACGACGCGGGGCGAGGAAGAAGCGGUGGAUGGGGCUGUGCAUGAGGGAGUUGGGGCGACCAUUCGGUUCAGCGCACGGGAUCGUAUUAACUCUGUUUUCUCCUAGGUACCUGCGCUGGUAUAGUUUCUCCAUGGGGUUACCAAACGAUUCUCUCUACUCCUUGAUUAAGAUGUCACAUCAAUUUUCUACUUACAUGUCAGGCUUAGCACUGGGAGCAGCCUUAUAGAAGUAAUGCAAUAUAUUCUCUCUUAUGCCUACUUGAAAUACUGUUGUAGGUCUGUACUUUGCCUCUCAUAUUGCAAGGAUAACACAUUGUAUGUCUAUUCUCUUAAGUUUAGUAAGGAUGAAGCAGGAAAGUGUGCUGGACCUUCUAACAUGGAUAUUGUACAUGUACGAGCUACGGGCCACUAUUGUUUAUCACAUAUGGAUUGUAAAUGUAGUGACAUUGAAGUUUGUAACAUAUCCUUAAAUUUCUUUAUUGUAACAUUAUGUUAACUAAAAAUC